GUAAAGGCGACCUGGGAUCACACAAAUGGAUACAGUUGAAGAUUUGAGAUAUUGAUACGAAUCGCGCAACGUUUGCAUUAUGCGAAAUCACAACUGAGACGUGCGAGCCGUGGAUCGAGUACAUUUUCGACAACAAGAACUCGUUCUUGAACUCAUUCAAAAUUCCAAAAAUACACCAAAGCAAUGGACGUGAUUCGAAAUUUAAAUUACCGCACCACAGUUCUGUUCAUAUUUGGAAAUUCAAAACGCGCUACAUAGAUAAAAUUUGAGUAGGUAUUUGUAGGUAUUAUUAUUGGGAGAAAAAAAAUAAAAAUUAUUUU